UCCCUAACAACACACAACAUUCCAGGAAUGUACUACCAAAGUUCUAUCAAUAUUUGAAUGUCCUGGACAUUUAGGGAACAUUCGGUGAACAUCUGUUUAAAUUAUUCCUGGAAUGUUACCAUAAGACAUUCUGUGAACAUACUACCAAUGUUCCUAUAUUUUAAGUUGCGAAAUAAUACAUACGUGUAAGAGAUACAACAUUACUUAUAACAUACCAGACAAACUAAGUGACAUUUUAGGCCUACAGUGCAAUAAUAUGUCAAAUUUAAAGAGUUUCCCAAGAUUAUAAACAUACAAAUGUAAUAAAAAUUAUUGUUCGCGAAUAUUCAAUUUGGAAUGCGAUUUUGUUAAUAAAAAAAUACUUAUAACUUAUGCAAAACCCAAGAGAGGCAUUUAUAUUUAUUUCUUUUGCGUUCAUUUUCAAAUUCGCCGUGCAUAUAUUUUUGUGCAUGGCGCUUGAGAGGGCAUCACGUGACUAAAAACGACCAACCAACGACCUCGCUUCGGCCAUCUUGGCAUCUUCAUCUUGGCGACCUUGCCUUGCCGUGGAUUGUUUUUAGUUGUUUGUAUUAUUUGUGCUUUUUAAGAAUAUUUUUUUAAUUCGGAUACUUUUAUAAUAGCUUUAAUAGUAUUAUUAACAUAGUGCAUAAAAUGGUGUCCUGUUUUUAACGCAGUUGGAGUAGCAGAAACAAAUGUAGAUAAAAAAAUCUGCAGGAAUAACGUUUCAAUUAUGACAGAAGCUCAAACAAAUGACUGUGAAUGAAAAGCCCUAUUAAAAGCUUUCCAGAAGAUCCUGCGAAGAAGACAUGAAGUAUAGAUCAGAUUUGUUAAUAGAGGAGUAUGUUCAAAACACUUUUUAGAAAAAGAUAUUGACAGAACUUCACUUUCAUCUGUUCGUUUGAGAGACUGUGCUGUUCCAAUAGCUUAUGUCACACAGAAUCAGCUGAGAGAAGUGGUCUACAAAAAACCAGAAAGGAAACGGAAUAUGUGGCUACGAAAAGCAAAAGAAAGGUUUACAAAGCAAAUGUGACACAUUUUUUUAUAAUAUUUAGGAAUGUCAGCAAAUUACAUUAAAAAAUG